rnacentral:lncRNA from 1 species
UUACAAAACCUCACGCAGGUCGUGCAUAUAUAUGUGCAGAACCAACCGACCAAAGCAACCCUUCCUAAACCUAUACAGACACUAGGUCAUAAUGACCGGCUACCUUGAUCAUUAUUUAAACCUAAACGUAUUAGGACUCUGGGCCUAAACCUACUCGGACCUCUAACACGUACGUAGCAGACCUGGGCUAGUACUACUUCACGGCAGCCUGGUAAGUUGCAUCUAAGUAGAACUUACCUAAAACUAAUUAACUCAAGAUUAACCUAACAAUCUCUUCCUAAUCUUAACCUGUCAUCUUUCUCGUGCUUCUCCAUCUUUACUUGUUGUAGAUUAUCCCUUAUCGACUCAUUCACUCGCACCACGACAAGUUAAACUGAUAGACUUCAUUGAUCGCAACAAUCUCUCUCCAAUUUCAACUUGGCGAAUUUACGGACCACCUUAAAUAUGCCUUGGACUACCCAGCCUUGCUAGUAAUCUGUGGAAAACACCACCCGGUGGACUUCACCAUCCACCCUAGCAAGAUACAUGCCGACUCCUUGUGGAUCACACCACCCUGUGCACUACACAAUGCACUCCAGCCUCAUGUAGAGACAUGACCUCAUUGAAGAGAAUCACCUUCACUGGUUUACCGCCCCCACAUACUUGAACUUUAUCCUCUCGUCGAGACACAUAGACGACCUAGAUGCGCUUCAUCUUCAACGUCUCCUCACAGAGACGAGCACUCGGACAUGGCGAUGAUGACGACGACUGACUGACCAACCGACCGAUCGACCGUCCUAACCCGCACGACUCCUUGACUCUAACUCCCGGAUGACGAGCUUGACGACUUUCGGGACCGCAUCACCGCACCACCGCUCCCGUCAACGACCUCCAUCCGCCGCUUUACCGACGACAGCCCACCGUCUCCCUCCUUGUCGCUCCGACGAACGACGAUCGCUUGUUCUCCUCUUCGCCGCGUCAUCCAGCGACUUCAUGGCCCGCCCCGAGGCACUAGUCGGUGUUAGAGAAUAUGUUUCCGUAGCAUCUCAAACUCCUUUCCUUCUCCUACUCAAACUCCUUGUAAUAUUCCUUGUACUCCAAGCUUGGCUUCGGCCGCAUCAAUCAAUAUAAACAGAACCGCGGCUCCCCUCGAGGGAGUAGGAACGCUUAUUAUCUUUCAUGGUAAUCAGAGCCACCUCUUCUCCUACAUCUAGCCACAAAUCAAAACCCUAGAACCACAUAUCAUCGUCUCCAUGGCUUCUUCGUCCGGCGUCCGCCUCAACCUCGGAUCGCCGCCAUCUGAGAAGCUAGCAAGAGGAAACUUCAUCCUCUGGAAGACCCAGGUGCUCCCAGCCCUGCGAGGUGCGCAGGUAACUGGGCUCCUGGACAACUCUGACGCCGCUCCACCCAAGACUGUGGAGAUCACGACGGCGGACAAGACGACGGCCCUCGAGCCGAACCCUCUGUACGGGCCCUGGAUCGCCAAAGACCAGCAGGUCCUGUCAUAUCUUCUCAACUCCAUGUCUCCAGAAAUCCUUGCGCAAGUCGUCGGGAAGGACUCCACCUAUGAGCUCUGGACGACGGUGAACAAUCUCUUCGCCUCGCAAUCAUAGUCCCGGAUCACCAAUCUAAGGAUCGCGAUCACCAAUACCAAGAAGGGCACAAUGUCGAGCUCGGCGUAUAUGGCAAAGAUGAAAAGCCUUGGGGAUGAACUAGCUGUCGCUGGUCGUCCCGUCUCUGAUCCGGAGAUGGUGGACUACAUACUCGCAGGACUCGACCGCGACUACGACUCCGUGGUGGCGGCGAUCGGCGCUGUCAAGAACACAAUCACCGCCGAUGACCUCUUCGCUCAGAUCUCCGCCUUUGAUGAGAGGAUGGAGAUGCUGGGAGACUCGUCUUCAGGCGGGUUUCAUUCAUCUGCCAACGCCGUCUACAGAGGCCAGUCCCGUGGUAGAUCCCGUGGGCGAGGAGGAAGAGGGCGCGGCCGCGGUGACCGCGGUGACCGCGCUGACCGCCAGCCUUCUCCUGCAAAUAGAGGCGGCGGAUUCAGAGGACGCCCUCGACAGCAACAGCAACAGCAGGUACGCGAGCAGCAGCAUGACUAUCCUGAGUGCCAGAUAUGCUAUAGACAUCAUCCAGGAGGUGCACGUGUCUGCUGGUGGCGCUAUGAAGAGAAUGAUCAAGAAGAGAAGGAGGCGCAUGCUGUCUCCUAUGGCGUGGACACUAAUUGGUACGCAGACAGUGCAUCAACAAAUCACAUCACAGGUGAACUUGACAAGCUGACAGUACGGGAGAAGUACAACGGAGGCGACCAAAUUCGCACGGCAAGCGGUUCUGGUAUGAAUAUCACCCACAUUGGUAGUUCAAUUGUUCAAAACCCCAUGAAAAAUUUGCACCUUAAAGAUGUCUUGCAUGUUCCUCAAACUUCCAAAAAUCUUGUUUCUGUUCAUCGAUUCACCCUUGAUAAUAAUGUUCUUAUAGAAUUCUAUCCUCACUUUUUCUUGGUUAAGGAGAAUCAUUCUUAGAGGACGGUGCGUCGGAGGCCUCUAUCCACUCAUAUCAUCAUCAUCAUCUUCAUGGUCCAAUAAACAAGCAAAUAUUGUCACCAAGCCAUCAUCAUCAAGGUGGCAUAGUCGAUUAGGUCAUCCAUCUUCAGUCAUAGUUAAAUAUGUUCUUAGCAAAAAUAAACUCUCUUAUGAGAAUAGUGUUGAGUCAGUUUGUGAUCCGUGUCAACAAGCAAAAAGUCAUCAAUUACCCUAUCCCAUCUCUACUAGUGUGUCUACUGCUCCUCUACAACUUAUAUUUUCAGAUGUAUGGGGACCAGCCCCUACUUCAGUUGGGAGAUUUUCUUACUAUGUAAGCUUUAUUGAUGACUAUAGUAAAUUUACUUGGAUUUACUUGUUAAAGAAACGGUCCGAUGUAUUCCAAGUCUUCAUCAAUUUUCAAAACCUUGUUGAACACAAACUGAACUCCAAGAUCAUUGCUAUGCAAAGUGACUGGGGUGGUGAGUAUGAAAAAUUGAACUCUUUCUUCCAAAAACUUGGUAUUUCACAUCAUGUCUCUUGCCCUCAUGCUCAUCAACAAAACGGAUCUGCUGAAAGAAAGCACCGUCACAUAGUUGAUAUGGGGCUAGCAUUGCUAGCAAAUGCAUCCAUGCCACUCAAAUUCUGGGAUGAAGCAUUCUUAACUGCUACAUAUCUUAUCAAUUUGCUUCCUAGUAAAGUCAUCAAAUUUGAAACACCUAUUACACGACUCCUUGGUGUCAUACCCAACUACACAUCUCUUCGUGUUUUCGGUUGUGCAUGUUGGCCCAACCUCAGACCCUAUAACACACGCAAACUCGCUUUUCGCUCCAAAAAGUGUGUCUUCUUAGGCUAUAGUCCCAUGCACAAAGGAGUUAAAUGUCUAGAUGUUCCUACUGGUAGGGUCUACAUAUCCAGAGAUGUAGUUUUUGAUGAGUCAGUGUUCCCUUUUGCUUCCCUUCAUCCCAAUGCUGGUGCACUUCUCCGCAAGGAAAUCCUUCUUCUUCCUCCACAUCUUCGGUCUUUUGAUCAUGGGGGCGACAGUUGUACUAACCAAAGUGAUGAUAUUCCUGCUGGUAUUGGUUCUUCUCUGUUGCCUGUACAGGUCCCUGGUGAAAACGGCGCUCAAAAUGAUCAAAAUUUCGAAAAUCAAGCUCAAGAUCAUCUUAUAUUUCAUGCUGAGGAAGGAGACGAACCUGGCACAGAUGACGAAGCUGAUCCGGCGGCGCCCGCAACUCCUGUUCGUGCGCAGACCUCGGAUCCCGCGGCCAAAUCAGCCUCGGAUCGCGCUCCCACCAACCGCAGCGCUGAUUCAGCAGCAGGCGGGACCAGCUGCGGGGUCGGCUGCGUGGCCGAAUCCGCCUCGCCCAGCGUGCGCCACUCCCACGCCGCCACCUCAGCAGCAGGCGGGACCAGCCAUGGGGCCGAAUCUCCCUCGCCCAGCACGCGCCUGCAACGGCGGUCGGGCGGUCGAUCCGCUGUGCCGGCUCGAGCGGCUGGCACCCGUGUGGUGGACACACAAGCGGCCACACCAACGGCUACAGGAUCCUCUGCGCAGGUGGCGCCAGAUUCGCCUGUGUCAUCACAUGCAGCUUCCUCGGGAUCUUCUGCGGCGAGUGCUCCUGUGGUCCAGCCAGCAGUUUCUUCACGAGUUAUGACUCGAUUACAGAAAGGUAUACGAAAUCCUAAAAUAAGAAAAGAUGGGACUAUACCAUAUGGAAUGUUGUGUAUUUCAGGAGAACCAACAACAUUGAAUAGUGCACUUGAUGAUCCUAAGUGGAAGAAGGCAAUGGAUGAGGAAUAUUCUGCACUUAUGAGUAACAAGACAUGGCAUCUUGUACCAAAUCAGAAAGGUAAAAAUAUCAUCGAUUGCAAAUGGGUUUACAGAAUUAAAAAGAAGGCAGAUGGCUCCAUUGACAGGUACAAAGCACGUCUUGUUGCAAAGGGUUUUAAACAACGUUAUGGUAUUGAUUAUGAGGACACUUUCAGUCCUGUUGUUAAAGCUGCAACUAUCAGACUUGUGCUAGCCAUUGCUGUAUCCAAGGGUUGGAGUCUACGACAGCUAGAUGUACAGAAUGCGUUUUUGCAUGGCAUUCUAGAAGAGGAAGUGUUUAUGAGACAACCACCUGGUUAUGAGGACAAGAAGUCACCACAUUAUGUUUGCAAGCUUGACAAGGCACUCUAUGGUUUAAAACAAGCACCCAGAGCAUGGUACUCCAGAUUGAGCUUACAGUUGAAAUAUCUUGGUUUCAUUGCCUCCAAAGCUGAUACAUCAUUGUUUAUUUAUAACAAGGCUGGAGUAGUCAUUUUUGUGCUUAUAUAUGUUGAUGAUAUCAUAGUUGCAAGUUCUUCACAAAAUGCUACUAAUGCACUUCUGCAUGAUUUAAGCUCAGAGUUUGCCUUGAAAGACCUAGGUGAUUUGCAUUUCUUCCUAGGUAUUGAGGUCAAGAAAACUCAAGAUGGAAUUGUGUUAAAUCAGGAGAAAUAUAUCACUGAGCUUCUGUCUCGCAUGGGGAUGAAGAAUUGCAAGCCAGUUCCUACACCUUUGUCUUCCUCAGAAAAACUUUCAGCAUAUGAAGGUGUGCCACUUCAGGAGGAGGAAAGUACAAGGUAUAGGAGUACUGUGGGAGCAUUACAAUAUUUAACUCUCACACGUCCAGAUAUCUCAUUUGCUGUCAACAAGGUUUGUCAAUAUCUGCAUGCACCUACUUCUGCACAUUGGUCAGCUGUCAAGAGAAUUGUAAGAUAUGUAAAGCAUACUAUGGGAAUAGGACUUCAUUUCAAACGGUCCAAUUCCUCUCUUGUGAGUGCAUUCUCUGAUGCUGACUGGGCAAGAUGCAGUGAUGACAGAAGAUCAACUGGAGGUUUUGCAGUAUUUUUUGGGUCUAACCUUAUUUCUUGGAGUGCGAGAAAGCAAGCCACCGUGUCACGGUCAAGCACAGAAGCUGAAUAUAAGUCCUUGGCAAAUGCAACUGCAGAAAUCAUUUGGGUUGAAUCACUUCUUGAGGAAUUGGGAAUCAAGAAGAAUCGUAUCUCAUGUUUAUGGUGUGAUAACUUGGGAGCAACAUAUUUGUCCGCAAAUCCUGUGUUUCAUGCAAGGACAAAGCACAUCGAAAUUGAUUUUCACUUUGUGCGAGAAAGGGUUGCAGCCAAGAAACUCGAGAUACGGUUUAUUCCCUCCAAGGAUCAAGUAGCAGACGGUUUUACAAAGGCAUUGCCAUCAAGACCAUUUGAGGAGUUCAAGAGUAAUCUUAAUCUAGGGUAGUUAAGAUUAAGGGAGGGUGUUAGAGAAUAUGUUUCCGUAGCAUCUCAAACUCCUUUCCUUCUCCUACUCAAACUCCUUGUAAUAUUCCUUGUACUCCAAGCUUGGCUUCGGCCGCAUCAAUCAAUAUAAACAGAACCGCGGCUCCCCUCGAGGGAGUAGGAACGCUUAUUAUCUUUCAGUCGGGUCACAACCCCGGGGCAAGCACGGAUUCAAACCGACCUAGCUCUUAUAUCAAUUGUUGGAAAUUCGUCCACAGGAUCGAUCACAUCACAGUACGACGAACACGCGCACAAAAAACUUUUAUAGCCAAGGGCUCUUGUCGUGCCCUUUGUUUCUCCUCUUUUUAUUUUCUGUUUUCUCCACGUUACAAAACCUCACGCAGGUCGUGCAUAUAUAUGUGCAGAACCAACCGACCAAAGCAAACCUUCCUAAACCUAUACGGACACUAGGUCAUAAUGACCGGCUACCUUGAUCAUUAUUUAAACCUAAACGUAUUACGACUCUGGGCCUAAACCUACUCGGACCUCUAACACGUAGCAGACCUGGGCUAGUACUACUUCACGGCAGCCUGGUAAGUUGCAUCUAAGUAGAACUUACCUAAAACUAAUUAACUCAAGAUUAACCUAACA